UGGAAGCCCCCCGCAGCGGGAGCUUACGAGAUAAGGCGGAUGCAUGACGUCACCCCCACCUGCCCAGGUGAGCAGGUAACCGGUUAGCUGGUGGGAAGCAGCAGGGGGCUAAUGAAUCCAGGCGGGUCCUCCCAGACCCUGCCCCAGGGGCUGGCCGGUGAAGGUGAUCCUCCCGUCAGCGGGAGACCUGGCCUGGGUGGGUGAGGGUCAAGACCCUGCAGGGGUCUUCCCGAGGGGCUUCGGGCGGUGCACCGGGAGAUCCCAUAGCCAGACGCCCUGCUGCCAGGAGUAAGGAGGUGGCGCCCGCUUCAGGGACGCUCGUGGGGUGCAGGGCGGGAACCUGGGGAGGCAGGGUCGAGCGCUGGCGUGCCUGGCGCUGUUCGGUGUGCCUUGCGUAGACUGGCUCGGGCGGUUCGGCGGCUCACGGAUGUAGGGUCACUGCGUAUUCCAUUUUGCCGCGUCCCGCCCUAGGGGGAAGGAGAGCCAGGCUGCGGGGCCGGGCUGCCUCCGCCUUGGGAAGGGGUCUCGCUCCGGCCCCCGACGCGCUGACCAGGGCCUGCGAGGCCUGCCGCGUCACGCCAGGGAGGGCCCGCUAGAGGGCGCCGCAGCGGGGGGCUCGGGACGGUGUUGUCUGACCCUCGCGGGCCGCCGUACGCGCUAUAAAAGGCGCGACGCGUGGGUGUGCGCCCUUUCUCGCGGCGGCGGGGCGGCGGUGCCUGCUGGAGGGUGCGCGGGCCCGGCUCCCCUCAGGCAGCGGCUCGCUAGCCGAGGUUUGGCGCGCAGGGCCCGGCUUUCCGUGAGUCCGCGCUCGGGGGGAGCUUUCCUGCUGGAAACCCGGCCUGGAAGAGCGUCCUGGGAUCUCGGGUGAGUUGACAGGAAGGAAGGUGAUAGCUAGCCUGUGAAGGGGGCCAGAAUAAAUGACCAGCACCAUCCA
rnacentral:lncRNA from 12 species